UACGUAGGGGGGCAAGCGUUGUCCGGAAUCAUUGGGCGUAAAGAGCGUGUAGGCGGCCCGGUAAGUCCGCUGUGAAAGUCCAGGGCUCAACCCUGGGAUGCCGGUGGAUACUGUCGGGCUCGAGUCCGGAAGAGGAGUGUGGAAUUCCUGGUGUAGCGGUGAAAUGCGGCAGAUAUCAGGAGGAACACCAAUGGCGAAGGCAGCACUCUGGGACGUGACUGACGCUGAGACGCGAAGCGUGGGAGCAA
rnacentral:rRNA from 1 species